rnacentral:rRNA from 1 species
AUUGAACGCUGGCGGUAUGCUUUACACAUGCAAGUCGAACGGCAGCACGGGGCAACCUGGUGGCGUGUGGCGAACGGGUGAGUAACAUAUCGGAACAUGUCCGGAAGUGGGGGAUAACGUAGCGAAAGUUACGCUAAUACCGCAUAUGCCCCGAGGGGGAAAGGGUGGGAUCGCAAGACCUCUCGCUUUCGGAGUGGCCGAUAUCGGAUUAGCUAGUAGGUGGGGUAAAGGCCCACCUAGGCGACGAUCCGUAGCUGGUCUGAGAGGACGACCAGCCACACUGGAACUGAGACACGGUCCAGACUCCUACGGGAGGCAGCAGUGGGGAAUUUUGGACAAUGGGCGCAAGCCUGAUCCAGCCAUACCGCGUGAGUGAAGAAGGCCUUCGGGUUGUAAAGCUCUUUCAGACGGAAAGAAACGGUCGCGGCGAAUACCCGCGACUAAUGACGGUACCGUAAGAAGAAGCACCGGCUAACUACGUGCCAGCCGCCGCGGUAACAC